rnacentral:lncRNA from 1 species
CGCCGAAAGGAGCAGCGGCAGCAGCGGGAGGGCAAAAGCAAAGCAAAACAAAGAUGCUGCCUCCGGGUCGGCGCUGGAAGAAGGCCGGUGCGCGGCGUCUAACCCGUGCCCCCGUCCGCGGUUUGUGGACCUGUGGGCAGGACGCGGAGCAGCACUCCAGAAGGCUGGUUUAUAAAAAAGGAGAAGAUAGAGAAUUUCAUCCAAGAAUUCCCAGCUGGAGACAUCUGUUCAGCAGCAAGUCACCUGAUGAACAGUUCUAACCAGCCAAGUGUGAGUUAUUUUUAUUGGUUCAGUGUUUUUAAAAUAGCUAUUUUUUUUUCUUUUAAUUGAUACCUUACUAGACACUUCAGUAGAUUCCUAAAACAGUUUUCAUACACUUGGAUUUAUUUCUCCUGAAGGAUUAGCACAGCCCAAACCGAGUGAUCCAUUCCCAAACUGAGCUGGCUGGCUGAAACCAGUAGGAACCAGUUAAACGCUUGAAAUGAGGGUUUCCACCAGGGUAAUCAAGUUUCCCAAGAGGUGAUGGAUUUGAUGUAUAGCCUGUCACGAUGAGUUGCAGGCUCUCAGCACCUCUGGAAAUCAGGUCGUAGCAGCUUUCAGCAAAUCUGAGGAGACGGGGUGCGCACACGUGCGAGCCAGUGCAAGCCGCAGAUGGGGCGCGCGUCUUCAUCGAUCUCAAAAGGGAGGUUGAGCUGUUCUGGCUCGAAUCACACGCUUUGGCGUGUUAGUUAG